AGAAGAAUCCACUUCCGCCGAGCGAUGCAUGUGUGAUGUGUGAAAAACAGCUAGCUGUUCACCAUCCCUCACUAAAAACAUUACAUGCUGCUGCCUUGUUAUGUGACAGAUUAGUAUAUUCUUUAUUUUUCACCUCAGUUCUGCGCGGAGUCAUUUAUAAUAAUAGCAACAAACACAUUAAAAACAACUGUGGCGCUGUUAAGCUAACGAGCACUAGCAAGAGGAAGCUAGCACUACCACACGGAAAGACUCCAAGAUGGACGAAGCUGCUGCAGAGAUCAGAGAGGACGGAGCUGAAAACAAGACCCACGAUGGAGACACCACAUCUGAAAACAACGUUGAUCCAUCGGCUGAGGACACCGCAGAUGGGGUUGGGGUUUUCUGCUGUCGGGAUUGUGGAGAAGCCUUCAGAGAAGAGGCAGCUUUCUUGGAGCAUCGCCAUCAGCACCCACAAGAAAGUGUGCAUUUAGACAAACAGUUGGAUGGUUUACAUGAUGCAGAAAGGGACAAUGAAACAACUAAUUUCUGUACUAUAUGUUCACUAUCAUUUGUGGAACCAAGUGAAUUUAUAUCGCAUAUGGAAAAGUGCCAUGACCAAACCUUGCAAAAGGAGUCUGGCAUUCAAAUAACUUCUGGGAUAACAAAGCAACACACCUAUGAAUGUGCAGAAUGUGGGAAAUGUUACUUUGUGAUCGGACACUUCCUCAACCAUCAGCGCUCACACAGACAAGCCUCCAAAUCUGUUUUUCAUGAUCUUGAACAUUUGAAAAAGAAGUCAUUUCAAUGCGAGUCUUGUGGGCGGAAUUAUUCUCGAGCUUCAGCUCUCGAUGCACACCGUCGUUGUCAUGAAGGAAAAUUAGUCAAGUCACGAAACAAGAAUUCAGCAGAAGCAUUUCACACUGAGGAGUCAAUCGUUGAAGCCAAGCCCGGUGAAAGCCAGACUCCUGAGGUUACUCCUGAAAAAACCUUUAAGUGUUCAUGUGGUAAAGCUUUUACUGCCAUGAUGCGCCUUAAAACACAUCAACGAUUUAGCCGCAACAGUCUAUGCUCUCCAGAAGAAAUGAAAGAAAAACCUAAGAAAAGCUGCAAUGAGUUUUACUGUGAUGAGUGUAAAAAGGCUUUCACUGGACAUAUUGCCCUCUUUAACCAUCAGCGAUGGCAUGCCAAUCACUCUGAUGAUUCUGCGGAAAGGUUCCCAUGUGAGGAAUGUGGCAAAGUAUUUAUGACACUAACAUUCUACUACAGGCAUCAGCGCAUGGCGCAUAGUGAGGAGACCCCAGCAAAGUCGUUUCUUCACCAAGUCUGUCAGCUGCAGAAAAAGGCAUUUGAAUGUAAAGAUUGUGGACUGAAGUUUUCGAGGGCUUCAGCACUUCACUCCCAUCAGCUUAAUCACACGGAUGUUUAUGGAGAAACAGAGAAGGAGUCUCAUGUGAGUACCUCUCUGCUACCUCAACAGAAAACUUUGGAUAACGAAAGAAAAGAGACUAAGCAAGAACAAGUGACAUCAGAAAAUGUGCCUCCUAUAAGUGUGGUUGAAGAAGACUCACAUGCAAAUGAGAGUGAUGAAGACUUGGACAGUUAUGACCCUGGGGACUUUAUUGUUCAGGUGAUCAGUGCAAGUGAAUCUGAGGAUGAGGCCGCCCAAGACACUAAUCCUGAUCUUGAGCUGCUGUGUGAAUCGGAUCAGGAAAAUAAAAAUGAAGGCGACACUGGAGUUUCCCCCAGUAAUCUUGUUUUAAAACCAGAGAUGGAUUUGAAAAUUGUAGAAAUUGACUUUGAGCAAACUGAUGAACAAUGUGCACUGAUAGCGAAAGAAGCCGAGAAUAAAACGACAGAAGAAAGAUUUGAUUGCCCAGAGUGUUAUCGUUGGUUUUCUAGUGCUUCAUCACUGCGCGUUCACAGAAUGUGGCAUGGCGUUCGUAAGAGAAAACAGCAGAAUCCAGGUCAGUCUGUGGCAGUUCACACAUGUGACACAUGUGGCCACGAAUCUAAUAGCUAUGCAGCGCACUGCAGUCACAUUCAACAACACACAAAUCCUAAAAGAAACAGUGAUGGUGAAUCAGAAGGAUUAGAGACGAAAAAUCUAGUGUGCAAUGAGUGUGGUAAAAGCUUCUCACGUUUGUCUGCUUUAGUCUCUCAUCAGCUGCAUCAUCCCAAAAAAAAACCAUAUCAAUGCCCAGAUUGCAUGAUGUCUUAUUCUUAUGCAGCUAGUUUUGUUAACCAUGUGAAAAACUGCUCGGCACAAAAGAAGGGGAAUAUUUUGGUCAGUAAAAAAGAAUACAAUCCAAAAAAGACCCUUUUAGGCCCAAAGAUUUAUCAUUGUGAACAGUGCGGGAAGGGGUUUUGGUCUUUAGGAGCUUAUUCCCACCACAAGCAAAGUCAGACUGAGUGUACAGAUUUAAGGCUUAGAAAAGGUGCCCCCGGAUCUCUGCACUCUGUUAAUGGACACCAACGGCCCAAGGUUGCAUGUCCAGUUUGUGGUAGAAAGUUCCGUCACAAGGGCAUUAUGGCAUUGCACAUGCGAAAACAUGAAAACGGAAAUCACAAAUGUGAACUGUGCAACAGGUCGUUCCGUCUUUUUUCCAGCCUUCUCAGACACCAGGUUGUGCAUAGUGAGUUACUCCCACCACCCAUUAAGUCUUUUCAGCAUCAGGUAGAGCAGUUGAAAAAGAACACAUACAGCUGUCCUGACUGCGGGAAGCUGUUUUCACGGGCCAAAGCACUUCAGUUUCACAUGAAAAGCCAUGGGUACGAAACUGGUCACUCGCCAUCAUCGCCAAGAUCCACUGUCAUGCUGGAGGACCUGCAGUGUGCGACAUGCCUCGCACAUUUUAACAACAAAGCUUCUUUGCGGGCUCAUCGCAAACUUUGCAUUAAAAGAGAAAGUCAAGUAGUUGAUUUUAAGACAGAACCCUCAGAAAAUGAAUAUACUCAAAAGGACAGUAUGGAUGUUGGCACACAGGGAAGCUCUGAGCAAAUAACACUACAUACUGAAGUAAAGCAGGAACAAGAGACUGUGCAACCAAUGUUAGAAAAUCUAACGGGUGAAGGCAAAUCAGGCAACCCAAGCAAAACAAAUUUAAAAUAUAAAUGCAAAAAGUGUGACAGAAGCUUUUCAGUGGCUGGAGCUUUGAAUUUUCAUAAAAUAAUUCAUGCUGAUGAUGACAAAUCUGAAGCAAAAGCAAAAAUGGCUGUGUCUCUAAUGCUUAAAAAACCUAAAGAGGAAGAGCCAAGUAAAGGACAUUUUCACUGCUCAGAAUGUGGGAGGAGGUUCAUGUCUAACUCGGCCCUCGGCUCCCACAGAAGAUGGCACAAAGAAAAGAAAUUAACACGGUCCUUGCUAAAAGAUGAUGAAUUUAAAUCUGCUAAAAGCAAAUCAGAGGAUGGACCUUUUCAGUGCCAAAAAUGUGGCAAACAUUUUUUUGACCGUCGUGUUCUCCAGCGUCACAAGAUGUUUAACCCUCUGUGUCAAACAAAAACGGAGCCAGAGCUCGAUUCAAACCAAAGCGUUGAGAGCCAUAGCAGACUGAACAAAUCUACAUUUGUAUGUCUAGAAUGUAACACAACAUUUGAGCAACAAUUUCUUCUAGCUGCCCACUAUGAAAAUGAGCAUAACACACUAGAAACUGCCGAUCAUGCAGAAGACGGGCUCGCCAUGGUUGACCAGGAACCAAAACAGGUUGAUGUAAACUUCAGUCGGAGUGAGUUAAUGUCAUCAAUAUCGAAGCCAAAAGCUCACCAGUGCCCCAUCUGCUCUAUGACUUUUGCUAAGGCAAGAGGUCUGCAUGCCCACAAAUGGCAGGCCCAUUCCAAAAGGACAAAAAGUAAAAAUAAGAUCAUUUUGAAGAUAAAAAACAAUGCCUCAAGCAGUGAAGUCAAACGGACAGAACAAAUUAGUAAUGUUGACAAAGAAAUGAAGAAAACUAGAGCAGCCCCCCCACUUGUAAGAUAUGUUUCCUGCCUUGACUGUGGGAAGCAGUGCAGUUCUACAGAGACCCUGUUUGACCAUAAGAAAGUGUGCCACGAGAUAAAGGAAGAGAAGAUCCAAACACCUGAAACCGUAGCCGAGGUUUCCCCACCACUAAGCCGUCUAUCAGAGCAUAUGGCAAAAUGCCUAUUCAAGUGUGAUAAGUGUGGGAAAGCUUUCCAAACAGAGGAACACCUGGGAACCCAUAAGACCAAGGCAAAGAGCCGCCCGUAUUGUUGCGCCCUGUGCUGCAUCGGAUUUUGGUCUGAGAAUCAGCUGCAGCAACACCUCGCCUGGCACGAUGAAGUCCGUUGUCGUCUACCCAACGAGGUUCGGUAUAGGAUUGGCGCUGCUCUGACCUUAAAGCCUUUAAAAGCCAACGUCCCCUCUACUGACACAAAGGGAAUGUCCUGUUCAUCAGAGAACCAGUCACAAAAAAGCCAUAAGUGCCAACAUUGUGGCAAAGCCUUUCUUUCACCAACUGCAUUACAAAAACACGAAACACAGCACUGUAACAACGACUCGUAUCAUUGCUCCAUUUGCCCCAGGACCUUCAGUGAAAUACAGGACCUUAUCGAUCAUCACCAGGAAUGUAUUGGUGAUUACAAAAGGCAGAAUGAUGCUCCUGCUGCCGUCUCCUCAGUAGAUGCUGAUAGCCUUACUUGCCUUGAAUGUGGAACUACUUUCUGUCAAGAAACUGAUUUGCACAAGCACUACAUGGAGCAUGCCCAUGGAGUGUACUAUACUGUACAACCUGAAAAGGACUGAAGUGAAAACACUGUAGAUUGUUUUGGAGGAUGCCAAACUACUUAAAUAUGUUCAACUGCAUAAUUAUAAGAUAGAAAUGUGUUUAGGCUAAGUAGAAAGUAGGCAUCUCCUUUUUGUUUGUAGACUAUUUGAAAUUCUUAUAUAUAAAAAAAAAACAUGUAUUUUCUUUUCAGGCAUCCGUUACACUGGAUUGGUAACUGUGCAAAUGUUUAAAAAAUAACCUCUUUAUAUAAAUUAUGUUGUAAUGUCACAAUUAUUUUGAGCCACCGGUUGAUUUGUUCCAUUAUGAUUCGAAUUGUGAAGAGUUGAACCGUGGUUAUCUUUUUGGUGAAAAUUGACUUGAGUAUGGUAGUUUAUAUCUAGAUAUAUAACAAAAGGAUUGGAAACAUAUAUGCGUACAUGUUUGUCAUCAAUCUGAACAGUGCGGCUGACUCGCUACAUAUUUUCAAAGAUUAUGAAUUUAAAUAUUUCUGCACAACUAAGAUAUACUGAAUUUGCUUGUGUCCUUUAAAUACCUGAGGUACAGGUUAUCACAGCCAUUAACUACCAAAAAACACAUUUAAAUUUCAAAUAAUUGUAAGUUAUGUACAAAAAGUUUAGCAUUAAUUGAUGUAGAAGCUCCCAUGCUCUUUCUUUUUCAGUAUUGUGUUUCUUUGUUGUGGAUAUACUAUUCCUUAUGUAAACUAAAAUAGUGCUUAAGUUCAUGUAGGAUAGUUGUUUGUUUACUGUGCCACUUAAGUAUUUGGAUUAUAGAAAAGAUGUUACUUUGUUUUAUUAAUUUGUGAAAAACAUUUUUUCUUAGAUGACCAUUAUACUUGUUUAACUUGCUGUUUCCAAAUAAAAAAAAAAAAGCUAAAAAAAAGUUGCAAAAUAAAAGUUACUAAAAUAUUUGAUACGUGUAACGUGAAUUACUGGGUUGUGUGAUUCAUAUAGCUUUAUUUUUGUUAAUCUAAAUGUUUGUGGAAUUGUUUUUUUUUUUUUUUUUGACUAAGCACUGGGCGUGCUGUGUGUAAUAUUACAAUUUUACAUUUCAAAACCUAACCACUCGAAACCAGUCAUUUCAAAACCUGGCUUGUAAGUCACAUGUUCGUUUUUAGUCAUUAACAACUAAAGAACAUCGGUCUUGACAUCAGACAUUGAAUCAUUUCACACAGAGAAUAUUAUGGAUAUAGUUUCCAGCAGAACAUUUAUAUCAUUUUUUGGUGUUAAAUAAUAGUAAAGUUAAUUGAUGCAUUAUAAACCUAAAAAAACAUUUUGAUUUGACAAUAAGUGGUGCUUUUUUACUUAAUGUCUGAAAUUAUUCGUUUUUUGUGUUAAUUGAAAAAUAAUGUACUAAUUUCUAAUCAUAACUAUCACAUUGCUUUCCUGCUUUCAUGUAUUUGGACAUUUAAAGAAGUCUUAAUUUCAAUGCAUAUUGAAGAAAUGUGCCACCUAAGUCUGAGCAGAAUAAGUCUGAGCAGCUGUGGUAUACUUAUUUGAGUGGUGCUCUCCAGGCUCCAUAGAUGGGUCACAGAUGGUCUCCUUAUUUUACAGACAAGCUCAACAAGGCUAAACAUUGUAUUUGUUUCACUUGACGAAGAGGAGAGCCACAUCUCAGUCUUUCAAACAGGACAGCAUUUCAUGUGAGGAAUGUGGACUGAAGUUUACACAAUGGAACAUCUACCAGACCCACCUGCACCAACAUGCCCUGGAAGAGGGAGAGGAGGAAGAGGAGGAGGAAGAGGCCCAGAUGGGAGACGACAUGAGUCCUGUGUCAGAACUGGAUUCUGUGAGAGGAGUCGAUGGAAAAAGCCGAGAUGUAGACAUUAAUGGUGAAGCAGAUGAGUGUGACACAAGCAGUUUAUUGCAGAUACAACCCACAGGAUUUACUGAAGAUGUGCGGGACGCCGGAACAAAGGAGCAAUUUGGGAAAUAUCAUACUUGCUUAGUCUGUGGGAAGGUUUAUACAUAUCUGGUUUCAUACCAGAAACACCUACAGCUGCAUGAAAACCUGCCACCUACAACUAAAAGUCCACCAAGUGUCCCUAAUUUACAGGAGCAUCAGUGUCCGGACUGUGGGAUGUCAUUUAGCAGGCGAGCACGGCUUCUUGGUCACAUGAGAGUCCACAGGCCAUCCAAAUCAAAACCUCCCAGAUGUGAUCAGUGUAGCAUAGACUUCAGGUCGAUAAAGUCAUGGAUGAAUCAUGUCGUCCUCCAUAGAAAGAAACCGUUUUGGUGUUUAAGUUGUGCCAAAGGCUUUAAAAUGAAGAUUCUCUAGAUAACCACAUGCGCAGUCACACUCUGAUGAAACAUACGUGCCAUAUUUGCCACGAGAGUUUCCACGUAUCAAAACAGCUCAGGAUCCACUACAAAACCCACAGUGGAGCGAAACCUUACCAGUGCACAUUCUGCGGGGCAAGCUUCUUCAAACGUGGAAAUCUACUUUUGCACCGAAAAAAGCAUCUAAGAGCUUAUGCUGGGUUCAACGGGAUGCUUCGAGGUUCCAGGAAGCGAAGAAAUAAAUGGAGGAACAAUUAUCUGGCUAGUGUCAAAGAGGAGCCAGAAAUUGAUACAUACGUGGAGCAAAAUAAAACUCAACAGCCUUGUGAGUCUGGGGAUCAUGGGAGCUCUGAAGAGUCCGAUUGUGGGGAGCCCUUACAUCACUUCAAGCUUUCAAAACCACCAGGGUCUGCUCGGUCUGGUCCACAUGACAAAUGGAAAUCAGAACCUGUACAGCCCCCAACAGGACAGGAGCUGGCUGAGAGUGAAUCACCAGAAAAUAACAUGUACAGAGAACACAAGUAUUGGGAGUGGGAAUGUGUUGAAUGUGAUAUGGGCUUUGAUGAAGUGGCAAAACUGCAUUUACAUUAUGUAAAGCAUGCUACUGGGGAGCUGCCGAUACCACACGAUGAUGUUGAAGAUAUUUAGGGUGGAAGGCUCACAUAAGCAUUUUUUUUCUUACUUUGUCGACCAUUUAUUUUUGCAUUUUUUACUGUUUAAAGAAAUAUGGUGAAUUAGCAAUUGUUGAUAAAUGAACUUGUAGAAUUGAUACUUAUUAUCUAGUGUGCUGAGAAUGAUUUUAACUCUAACCCACUGUUACAUUUAAAUAUGUAUAAUGUCCUUGGGGAGAUGAUAAGGAGUUUCUACAACAGAUUAACUAUUAGUGUCUGAUGCUAUGAGAUUGUACUACAGUUUUUGAAUGCAUGAUUUUGAUAUGUAAACUGAGAUGAAACAAAGUGUUGCAAAAGAAAAGCUACUUCCCCUUUCCUUCUUAACCCCAAAUAAAAUGAAAUGCAUUCAA